UACGUAGGGGGCGAGCGUUGUCCGGAAUUAUUGGGCGUAAAGAGCGUGUAGGCGGUUCGGUAAGUCUGUCGUGAAAACCUGGGGCUCAACCCUGGGCGUGCGAUGGAUACUGCCGGGCUAGAGGAUGGUAGAGGCGAGUGGAAUUCCGAGUGUAGCGGUGAAAUGCGCAGAUAUUCGGAGGAACACCAGUAGCGAAGGCGGCUCGCUGGGCCAUUCCCGACGCUGAGACGCGAAAGCGUGGGGAGCGAACAGGAUUAGAUACCCUGGUAGUCCACGCCGUAAACGAUGAACACUAGGUGUUGGGGGAGUCGAAUCCCUCGGUGCCGCAGCCAACGCGUUAAGUGUUCCGCCUGGGGAGUACGGCCGCAAGGCUA
rnacentral:rRNA from 1 species